UAUCGGAUUGAUACUAAGCCAUGCGAGUCAUUGUAGUAAUACAAGGCAGACGGCUCAGUAACGCGUAGUCAACCUACCCUAUGGACGGGAAUAACCUCGGGAAACUGAGUAUAAUGCCCGAUAGAACACUAUUCCUGGAAUGGUUUGUGUUCCAAAUGAUUUAUCGCCGUAGGAUGGGACUGCGGCCUAUCAGUUUGUUGGUGAGGUAAUGGCCCACCAAGACUAUUACAGGUACGGGCUCUGAGAGGAGUAGCCCGGAGAUGGGUACUGAGACACGGACCCAGGCCCUAUGGGGCGCAGCAGGCGAGAAAACUUUGCAAUGUGCGAAAGCACGACAAGGUUAAUCCGAGUGGUUUGUGCUAAACGAACCUUUUGACAGUCCUAGAAACACUGUUGAAUAAGGGGUGGGCAAGUUCUGGUGUCAGCCGCCGCGGUAAAACCAGCACCUCAAGUGGUCAGGAUGAUUAUUGGGCCUAAAGCAUCCGUAGCCGGCUCUGUAAGUUUUCGGUUAAAUCUGUACGCUCAACGUACAGGCUGCCGGGAAUACUGCAGAGCUAGGGAGUGGGAGAGGUAGACGGUACUCGGUAGGAAGGGGUAAAAUCCUUUGAUCUAUUGAUGACCACCUGUGGCGAAGGCGGUCUACCAGAACACGUCCGACGGUGAGGGAUGAAAGCUGGGGGAGCAAACCGGAUUAGAUACCCGGGUAGUCCCAGCUGUAAACUAUGCAAACUCAGUGAUGCAUUGGCUUGUGGCCAAUGCAGUGCUGCAGGGAAGCCGUUAAGUUUGCCGCCUGGGAAGUACGUACGCAAGUAUGGAACUUAAAGGAAUUGGCGGGGGAGCACCACAAGGGGUGAAGCCUGCGGUUCAAUUGGAGUC
rnacentral:rRNA from 1 species